rnacentral:lncRNA from 1 species
AGAAACAAGGCCUGCCGCACAACAUCCAGGCGCAGGGGGCUAGUUCCGAGAGGAAAGUCUGCUUUCUUGGAUUUGGGGCAAGUUUCUCAUGUAUCUACUUCUUCAUCUGCUGAUUUCUGUGGUGAACCUCCUCAUCUGGCAAGAUAAGGGGCAGCUUGAGAGAUGGAGGGGGGGAUGGGGUGCAGGGUAGGAGGAAACCAGAAGCAGGUCCUGAAAGCUGCAAGAAGUCGGUGCUCUAGGAAGGUGCUUGAGGUCUAGGCUGCUUGUGCUGGGAGACAGAGUGAGGCAGGACAGAGCCCAGACUGUGGCUUUGGUGGAAUCCAAACAAAGUUAGCGGGUUUUGGCUGGGGGCGGGGGGUGGUGGCUGAGAAGAGAGUGUGCCCUAAGGAGUUGGGAGUGUCAUGGGAGUCAAUUAUUUAAUCAGCAAAUGUCUCCUGAGGGUCUCUCCUGUGCCAGCCCUGCAAUAGCUGUGCUGUGCAGAAGGUGAGCAAAACCAACCAGUGGGCUCCCAGCCCAGGGUCCCUGCUGGCGACAAGUUGUCGGCUACCACCACACGCAUGCUUCUCCCCACACGCGUGCUUCUCCCUAGCCAAGCAGGAGGCAGUGGAAGAGCCUCUGGGAACCUUGUCCUUCAAUGGGCAGUUGUGAAUCAUGGCAGAACCCUUCUUGAGAAAGGCAAGGUUGGAAAAACUGGAACCUGCCCUCGCAAGGCUCAAGUUGGAGACAUCAGGGGCCCAGAGGCCAGAAAGAACCCUGCAGUCUUUGCUCUGUGUAUGGUCAGGUGCUUGGGGCUCAACUUAGUUUGCAGAUACUCCACCCCAUCCCACCCCAUCCCAAAGCUGACCUGAGACAAGGAAGGAAAGGGCAGGGAGAGGACCGGAUUGUGGCCAUGCAGGGGAGGACAGAAGCAUGGCCACUGCAGCGUAAAGCGGGCCAGGGGAGGUCUUACUUUGGGUGUCUUAGUAUCUGAUUUGCACUGAGAAAGGGGUCACUCUGCAGCCACACCACACAGGGCAAGGGGCAACUGGGCUACCAUCAGGUGUCUGCUGCCACAGCCUAGGCAAGGGACUGGGGUGGUCUGGGGAGGAGGGCAUAGUGCUGGUGGCAAGAAAUGGACAUUUGGGGAUGGACGAAGGCAUGGGGUUUGCUGAAGUGUAGGAGGUGGAGGAAAGGGGGACAUGGUGUGUGCGGACCGUCCGGAGGGAAUCAGGCUCAGCCAUGCUGAGUUGAGGGAGCCCUAGGGAUACUCAUCCAUCUGUGGAUCUGGUGCUGAGGGAGGGUCCCAGCCAACCUCCUCUAUGUCAUUGCACGCAGCACCCGGGGUCUAGGGGGAUGUGAAGAGCAUGGAACGGCUCUAGCAAACCUCAACACCAGUGCUCAAGGAAGCAGCGGGCUCAGGAGCAAGGAUGUUGCAGGCUGGGAGCUGGUAAGCCUGGGCUGCGGCAGGCAGGCCUGGGCAGGGCAGAGGCGCAGAGCCCAGCUCUAGGAGAUGUGGGAACAAUGAGCGCCUUGGCUCUGGGUAGACAGACGUCCCUCCCAACAGAUCCUCAGUUUCUGUAACUCUGGCCUGUGAUGGUUGGGACUUCUCGGGCUGUACACUCAGCACAGAACAUGUCAUUGUUCCAGGCACAGGAAGGAAGCUUAAAAUGGGUGGACCUACCAAAAAGGCUGGAGGGAGAGGGGCAGGGCCAGGAAGUCGGGGUGCAUUAGUCCCUUUCCUGAAGGACCCCAGAGCCUGAAGAAGGGUCUGGCACUGUAUGGGCACUCAAGGCGCAUUUGCAGCCUGAGGGCAGGAGUGAGCACGGGAAACUCCUACAGGACUGGACCCAACAGCCAGGUCACCCCCAUUGCAGAAUUCUGGUGCACCCUCAGUCUCCUGAGUGACCCCACAUGGCUCCUUCUGCCCUUUUUCUCAUGCGGAACAAAAUAAGGAAGUAUGUGAGCCAAACAGUGUAGCCUUGGCUGUCGCACAGCUGGAGGUCAGGUCUUCUCUAGCUGUGUGGCCUCCAGCAAGUUACCUGGCUUUGCGGGAGCUCAGUGUGCUCAUCUUCAAAAUGGACACCAUAACAAUGACAUUUUGGGAUGACUGUCAAAUCAGGGAUGAUGUAUAGAGAUGAUAGACUGGCUAUGUGCUUGCAUAUAGACCUACAAAUACCACUCUUUUGAAAGGAGAGGGAGGAGCAUGGACCCAGCCCAGCAUGUGGGAAAGCCCAGGGAGGGUUUAAGGUGUUUUAUGUUUUGGCAAUGGAGAACAAGGCGGUGGCAGACGGUAUUACUCAACGCUGACCCCAGCAAUAUUUCUGGCCCCACGUGCCCCUCUUGAACCUCGCCACCACCCAUCAUAAGCAGAGACUGUGUCCCCUCCCUUCAUACCCCCGGGGGACCUUUGUGCUGCUUCAAUGAACAAACUGUGGUGGAAGUGAUGCUGCACAACAUCCAAGGCCAGGCCGUAGAGGGCAUGGAACUUCUGCCCGAUCUCUCGGGGCAUGGGCUGCGGGUGAUGGUGUUGAGCUGACAGUCAGAGGUCCAGCACCCUGAGGCUGCCACGCUGGAGAGUGCAUGUGUCAAGACCACAGGGAGAUGGAGAGAGAUGCCUGAGGAGCCUCGGCUGCUCCAGCCCACAUGCUGGGUGAGGGAUCCAGGAGCUUGCAUGAGCCCCGCCCAGAUGGCAUAUUUGUGAGUAAAGCAGAUGUUGUUGGAUGUGUGUCUGAGGACUGCGGAGGUUUGCUACACAGCAACACCUGACAACGAAGGGUUCUUGGUCAGAGGCUCGGUCAUGAGUGGGUUUGUAACACCUCUUCCCAAAGCCAGCUUCUCCCCUAGGGCUGUGAGUGAUUUGAGGGCCAAGCUUCCUGGCAUCAAACUCUUCUCCCCGCUGGUCUUUGCUGAUGCAUUCAUCAUGACAUAGAAUUUCAUUCACUGGGCUGCGGCAUUUUACUCUUUACCCAGAAAGUCAUUUAAACUCUAGUGUGAAUGAGUGUGGGGUGAUUUUUCCAAAGCAGGGGGCCCUGGGUGCCUGAGAAGAGAGUGAAGAGCCUGAGGGACACCUUUUGGAGCUCCUUCCUGCCCAGACCCCAGCUGCAGCUGUUCUGAGAAAAGCCUCUGUCAGCGUGGGCUCAGGGACUGCCCCUCCUGCGGCAUCCCCCUGCUGUCCUCUCACGGGCAUUUCCCCAAGGGCCCGCUCGUGUUAGAGCUCUAGCUCUCCGCUGGUCACCUUCAGACUGACGAUAUAUUCACUCCAGGCCUCUUGCUUCUAAUUUCUCAAGUGAGUUGCCAUUCAUACCAGCCCCUCAUCUGCCUCACCGGACUUCCCACCUAAUGCAGCCAGGGUGCCCUCUGCUUUGCCCACCACUCCAACAGAGGAUGUCUGCCCUAAAGCCUGCAGGCCCCAUGCCAGGGCAAGGCAGGCCCUGCCUUCCACCAGGUACAAGGUACAACACAGAGUGGCAUGCAGCCACUGCUAGGGAAUAUUUUUUGUUAAAUUGUGGCCCAAGGGAGGUCUGGGCAGGGCUUGAAUACUCCAUUCAGAAGUUAUGGCUGAUGUGCCCUGGUAGGCAUGCGUGUGGCCUGCUGGCGGGAAGCAGCUGCUGCUCGCUGUCCCAGAGUGUCCCCUGCCUCCUGACCCCUCCCCAGGGUUCCCAUUCCUCCAGGGCUCUCUACAACCCAGCAAGGGCUUGGAGCCGGCUCCAGCCUCUGUUCUGAGGGGCGGGUGCUCGUGCCCAGUCGGUGGUGAGUAUUUUUCGUAAGACCCCUGGAUACAAACAAAGCCAUGUCUGCAAAAUACCAGAUCCCUUGAUGGAAAGUCUCUUGAACAUGCUGCGGCCUGCUCCGCCCUAGCAUGUGCAGCCCAGCCAUUUCCACUUUGCUCCCGGAAGAUGCCUGACCAUGAGCUUUCACUUGUAGUUUCAGCAACAUUCCUAGGAUCAUCAUUAAAAUAAUUCAUGUUCUCUUCAAAUGCCAGCACAGAAUAAAGUCACAGGCCCCUCACCUCUAGGGACUCUGAGAGGCCAAACUUUGAAAGAAAAGAAAAAUGCCUGAGGUGAGAUGAUUGAGAAAUUAAAACUGUGUGCCCGUGAUCUGAGCCUUGGAAUUCAGCUGUGGCCAUCUCCAGGAAAGGCAUCCCCACAGAGCAUCCACCCCUGGCUGGAAGAUAAUGCGGUCGCAGAAGCUCAGGCCAAGUUCACCCCACCCCACGCAUGCAGAAAUAGUGCAGAAGGUCGGCCGAGACCCUCACUAAUGGAGAGAGAAGGGCUAACACAUACAGGGACCACUCUGAGGUGUGUUCCAGACCAUGCUCAGCGGUGCCCAGCAGGAUGGAGCUCUGCUGUUUGUGGAGGCCACCUGCUCACGCACCCACUGAGCUCAUGACUCCUCCCACCCUGCCCUGCUUCACGGCCCUGCCCCUGAAGGCUGCCUCCUGGGUCCUCUCCAGAUAAGCCACAUUCACUUGCAUCCUUAACUGGACACUUCUAUCCAAAGACAGGCUGGAGCCUUUGGAAGCUGACAGCCACAGCUUGGGGAACAGUGUGACCCCAGGCUUUCCUGGCAUUCACGUUGAAUCACUUGUCUAAUGUCACACAGCAUUUAAGAGGCAGAUCCAGGAUUUGAAGCAGAUCACUGGGCCCUGGAGGCUACACUGUUCACCACCCUGCUGUGAUGCCUUCAGAAGAUAAAACAGGCACAUUCCGGGUAAAUAUGCAGGCUAACGCAUGCAUGGAAAAAAUUUCCCUGGUAUGAACAUGUACGUGAGUAGAAAAAGUUGCUUAAGACCUAUGAUGCCAGAGAAAGUGGGCAUGACUGUGACUCAAGAUGUGGAGCUGGCGUGAAAAGAGGGGCAGGAACUGCAUCCGCAGUGAGCCUCCCAUGCAUUCCUGGGGGCUCCAGCAGCAAAGCAGGAUUUUGGAAAUAAGGAAAGCUGCUUGUUCGAAAUAAUUUUCUUCUGUCAGUCCAGCCUUUAAUUAGCCAAGGUAAAAACAUUGAACUAGGAAUCCCGAGACUUAAGCUUGAGUCCUGACCCAACCUAUAAAUUCACUGUGUGACCUUGGGAGGCUUGCAUAACCUCUCUGAGCUUUCCCUUCUUUGUAAAUUGCACAAUAUUACCUUCAAAUGUAAUCAUGUGAGAAAGAAACUGCAGCUGCUUCUUGGGUUUAGAGCUGCAGCAUCUGUGUGGGUUCUCAGAAGUACCAUAGCCCUGACUACAAAUUAUCUCAUAGCCAAGAGAACAACCUCAUGGAACUCGAAAGUUGAAAUUCACUCAGUCUGGGUUUUUUAUAUUUAUUCUGGGGAACUUUUGGGGAAAUGACUACAGUCAACCACUCUUAUGCAACAAUAAAGACGCAGACAUUUUUUGAAAGAAAACUGAGUUCUAGUCAAAUUAAUGAGAUUAAUAUAAGUAAUUAAUUUAUUGGAGAAGAAUUUAUCAAUUUGGAUAGCCUUUUAUUUUCAUUUGGAAUUUGAAAUUACAUUAGUAGAGAUAAGUUGAUGGUUUUUAGUUUCAUUAUUAUGACACGUUGCAUUAAAAACAAUACUUUCCAGGUGACAUCGAUAGUUAAGAAAAAGUUAGAGGAUAAAACCUCAAAAAGAGUAAGAAAUCUAAAAGUCUAGAUCAGUGUUUUACAGAACUCAGGUUUUCAGAUGACUCCUUUGGGAUAAUCAGCUUUCUGCAGUUAUGUUAUGUAUGGGACAUUUUUGGGUGGCAAUAAAGAAAAAGAGGUAGGGGUCAGGCCUAUGGGACUGGGAGGCCCGCUACGCAACUCAGAAUGGCUGGGACUUCUCGGAGCCCAUGCUUCCAUUUAGAGGGCCCAAUAGAACCGUUUUCUUUGUGGCAGAUAAAACCAUGGCUAAGUGCAGUGGCUUACGCCUGUAACCCCCACACUUUGGGAGGCUGAGGUGAGAGGGUCAUUUGAGGUCAGCAGUUCACAACCAGCCUGGCCAAAAUGGUGAAACCCGUCUCUAUUAAAAAUACAAAAAUUAGCUGGGCAUGGUGGCAGGCACUUGUAAUCCCAGCUACUCAGGAGGCUGAGGCAGGAGAAUUGCGUGAACCUAGGAGACGGAGGUUGCAGUGAGCAGAGAUCUCACCACUGCACCCAAGCCUGGGAGACAGAGCAAGACUCUGUCAAAAAAAGAAAAAAAGAAAAAAAAAAAAACCACACAAAAACAAAAAGGACCCAGAAGCAGUCCUUCAGGUUAAAUGAUACUUCCUUGUCAUAUGAAGGCCGCAUGGGCCCAGUGCCCUGCUGGGCAAAUGGAGUUUCCCAGUAAUUCGGAAUUGGGGGAACCUACACUGUGAGCCCCAUGGCGCUCUGAAGGCUGAGACUUGGUGUUAGCCAGGAACUGUCCUUUUGUUGUUGUGUUACAUCACUGUGUUAAAUUGAACCAUUCUGGUGUUCUAGGCUUGUUUUAUCAUAUUUGUAAAUGUUUCGGUUUAGUAGUUACAGGAGAGUUAGAGCGUAUGGUAAUGUUAUCUGAUCUGACUAAAGUACUAUUUAAGGACAGCGGUGGGAAAUAUGGCCUAUGAGAGCCCAAAUGUUACAGGCUACAACUGAGACUCCAAAGAGAACCUGGCCUCUCAGACUCAGCAAAUGGAAUUCUUGGUUCAAGGGCUGGUUUGCCCAGCAUGUGUCGGUGCCCACACUUGGAGCAACCUGCCAGCACCAGGAUGGGUCCCACUGGAGGAAGCAGCAGUCGAUGCUCUAAUGCGGUGGGAAGAACAAGGAGCAAUUCUGAAAACAGAAGUGUCAAAGUUACCAUCCCUUCUCUUGGUUCCUGAGAAUCCUUGGCCAGAAGACACAAACACCUGCCUUCCUUGCUCCAGGAACCAGAGAGGUGGUGUAGACCUCAGGAAGUCUGCUCAAGGACAAGAGGCAGUCAGCGGCUUCCAGAACAGCUUCUAGAUUGUGGGGGAGUGGGGAAGGGCUGGUCUGGGAGCAGGAAGAAGCUCAGUUCUGCUGCUGGCUGGCUGUGUGCCCACAGACAAGGAAGUCUCUUUCACUGUCCAAGCCUGAGUUUCUUUAAAAUAAAAUGUAAAGUUAAAAUAAAAUGUAAGAAUGCAGUGGCACCCUAGAUGUAAACUGUGUGUGCCUCGUCACAGAGCAGGUGCAGAGCAAAUGCCAAUUCCUUCCCAGUGCCCAGCCCACCCCAGGCCCACGGGGGGCUGCCUGGCCUCUGUGCCCAGCCUGAGACUACACUGAACUCAGGGGCUGUCAUUUCCCCUCAAGGUUGCUCUGCUCGCAAAUCAUCUGAUUUCAUCAGGACAGUGAAUGGUGGAGGGAGGUUGAGGCAGCAGGGUAAGUAAGUAUCUGUGAGACGACCAACAGCUAUUCUGGACUUCGUAAAAAUGUAAAGCUCUCUGAAGGACAUAGCAUAACAGGCACAGCUUUCCUCAACUAGUUGAAGUGGUUCUUGGCUUUCCUGGUCUAAUGCAACUCACGGGACAAAUGGCUGGUGGUCCUCUAUCCUCCCUGCCCUCUGAGUCAUUCUCCAGCCUGGCUCGGGCCUGUGCACCAGGUCUUGUGCCUGCUGGGGCCUCUAAAGCCAUCCAUGUCUCCAGGUCUCUGCAACAGCAGCAGGAUUCCAGUGGCAAGCUGAUAGGAGAAAUUUAACAGGGCUUUUCCUGUCUACCUUGACUGGAUUGUUCUUAUUUUUAUUUGCAGAAACCAGAGUAAGGCAGCCCAUCCAUCAAUCAAUGCCUGCUGCUCCUUAUGCCCCCAUGGCAGGUAUCAAACUCCUGCUGCAUUCUGGGGCCUGACGAAGAGUUGCAGAUGCAUGUGGAAUGGGCUGAACUCUGAACCCAUGUGUUCAUGUAGUACCUUUGCCACGUAGAUGCAUACUCCAGCUACUGCUCUAGGUACUAAGGAUGGAUUAGUCACACAUCAGGCGAGCCUCUGCUCUUGUAGAGCUGUAAGGUGACCAGUGCAAUGAAGGAAGAUGGGGAGGUGAGGGAGGUAAGACCUGGGAAUGUGGGGGAGGGGGCAAGUACCUGCAGAAGCUGAGUGUGUGAGCUAUGAGGAGAACACCACAAGAAAGAGUAUCCAGGCAGGGGGAGAGGUGAACUCACAGUUUCUGAAGUGGCCUGUGCUUAGCAUAUUCUAGAAAAGCCAGGGAGCUAGUAGGGCCAGGAAGGAGUGUUUUGUCUUAUUUUGUUUUUCAACAAAUGAAUGAACACAUGGGAACAGUGCAUGCUGGCUAAUUACCAUGUAAACUAUUCACCUGCUCUUGCUGGUAGGAUGGUAAUGCUUCCUGAACAGAGGUGUCCAGUCAGCCUGGCUCAGCAUGCCCUGCCUACACAGGGAUGAUAAGCCAUCACACAGCUUGUGGGUCUGAGCCAUGCUGCACAGUUCCACCAGACACAGAAGUCGUGCCUCCAAGGACCUGGGCAAGGCCAAACUCCACCUGCAGGAACCACACAGCUGUUAUAGCUGAUGUCCUGGCUUCCUGUGCUGGAGGAGCUGUCUGGGUCUUCUGGAUUUUGAAGCUGGAGACAUCUGAGCUGUGGCAUUUUGCUGUAGUUACUGCACUUCUUUGAGUAUCUCAUUAAUUUCUAAAAUGGGCAUAGUAAUAACUAGUAGCAUGUAGAAUUUUGGGGAGGAAAAUCAGAACAUGUAAGUGAUACUGGCUGAAUUGUGUCCCCAAAAUUCAUUUGUUGACCUUGUCACCUCAGCACCUCAGAACUUGACCUUAGUAGGAGAAAAGUCCUUUAAAGCAGUGAGUAAGGUAAGUGAGACCCUGGGGGCUAGCUGAAACCCUAAUGCAAUAGGACUAUGUCCUUACGAGAAGAGGAGAUGAGGACGCAGACACUCACAAAGGGAGGACUGUGUGCGGAGCAGGGAGGAGAGGGGCAUCUGCAGGCCAGGGAGUGAGGCUCAGAGGAGCCGGGCCUACCCACACCUUGAUCUUGAAACUGCAACCUCCGGAGCUGUGAGAAGACACAUUUCUGCCUUUGCCCCUGCCUGUGGGGCUGCCAGAGCAGCCCAAACUGACUAAGUCAGCUGGUGAGGACCCCUGGGAAUGCUCGCCUGUGAAAUUCGGCCCACGGACUCCGGG